rnacentral:lncRNA from 1 species
UCCUAUCUUAUUCUAAGCUAAACAAUAAGUUUCCUCAAUAACCAAAUCUCACAAGUGGAGUCCAAUCAAAUGGUCCAGGAUCUUCAAGUGACAACUGUCCAAUCAGGUCCAGUGGAGAAGUGUGUCCUCAAUCUUCUGUUCAAGCUGCCAGCAGCCAGUUCAAAAGAUUCCUCUCUUCAGCUGGUAUCACCAAAGCCAGAAACCUGUUUUUCAAAACCUCCAACUUCAGGUCCUUCAGAAGAGAGAAGUGCCAAGACAGAGGAUCCAAUGCUCUCAAGCUCAGACUCCUCUUUUGCUUGUGAAGAUCCAAAGACAAGAGAGGUACAACCACUUACUGAGAACGAGUUGAUGGCAACAGCAAGACAGGAAAUGGUUAGCGAUGUCAGAGGACUCCUCUGGCUCAAGGUAAAAGGACAAAUGAAUAAAGUGAUGAAGACAAAGGACUUGAAAGUCAGCAUAAGGUAGGGGAAAGAACAUUGUAUCUGCCAUCAGAAGAUUUUGGUUUAAGUUAUGGUUCUGCCACUUUCUAGCUGUUUGAUCUUGGGCAAGUCCCUGGGAUGGAACAGAAUACUGGACUUGAAUUAUGAAGACCUGAGCUUAAGUCUUAUGUUUCAUUCUUAUCAUUUGUGUGAAUUUGGGUGGUUACUCAACCUCUUUGAGUUUCAAUUUCUUUGCCUGUAUAUUAGGUCUAUGCUAUCUAUGUAAAGUGUGGGUAUCCAGAUGGAUGGUCUAAAUGUACUUCAUGGGGAAGUAUGGACAGAUAUCUCUGAAAUCUUGCCUACAGGUCUCCAAGAAAGACAACUUUUUCUGCUCUGAAAAGAACAGAAGGGGAAAUGAGGCUGGUCACUGUUCUCCUCUAAGAGAGGGGUAUAUACUGCAAUUAUGUCCAUAUAUUCUCCCAAAAUUAUUGGCCUAGGGGCAUGAUUGGUUAAGAACAAAAACCCACUGGUUUUCUUGGUCACAAUCUCUUAAAGGGAUGGGGUAGGAUGGGAAGGGUAGUCCAAGGUUACAGCCACUGGUUUGACCUCUUCCUGUCAAAUGCUGAUAGAGUGUCAAAAAUUCAGUAACUCAAUUCAUCCACUUAGAGAGCAAACAGAAAUUAGAGAAGUUAU